rnacentral:rRNA from 1 species
GCGAACGCUGGCGGCAGGCUUAACACAUGCAAGUCGAGCGGGCAUAGCAAUAUGUCAGCGGCAGACGGGUGAGUAACAUGUGGGUAUCUACCCUUUGGCCUGGAAUAACACGAGGAAACUUGUGCUAAUACCGGAUAAGUCUUUACGGAGAAAGCUUUAUGCACCAUUGGAUGAGCCCGCACUUGAUUAGUUUGUUGGUAGGGUAAUGGCCUACCAAGACUAUGAUCAAUAGCUGAUUUGAGAGGAUGAUCAGCCACAUUGGGACUGAGACACGGCCCAAACUCCUACGGGAGGCAGCAGUGGGGAAUCUUGC